rnacentral:rRNA from 1 species
UGGGGAAUAUUGCACAAUGGGCGCAAGCCUGAUGCAGCCAUGCCGCGUGUAUGAAGAAGGCCUUCGGGUUGUAAAGUACUUUCAGCGGGGAGGAAGGUGGUAAGGUUAAUAACCUUAUCAAUUGACGUUACCGACAGAAGAAGCACCGGCUAACUCCGUGCCAGCAGCCGCGGUAAUACGGAGGGUGCAAGCGUUAAUCGGAAUUACUGGGCGUAAAGCGCACGCAGGCGGUCUGUCAAGUCGGAUGUGAAAUCCCCGGGCUCAACCUGGGAACUGCAUUCGAAACUGGCAGGCUAGAGUCUUGUAGAGGGGGGUAGAAUUCCAGGUGUAUCGGUGAAAUGCGUAGAGAUCUGGAGGAAUACCGGUGGCGAAGGCGGCCCCCUGGACAAAGACUGACGCUCAGGUGCGAAAGCGUGGGGAGCAAACAGG